rnacentral:rRNA from 1 species
UUGUUUGGAGAGUUUGAUUCUGGCUCAGGACGAACGCUGGCGGCGUGCUUAACACAUGCAAGUCGAACGGAAAGGCCCUUCGGGGUACUCGAGUGGCGAACGGGUGAGUAACACGUGGGUGAUCUGCCCUGCACUUUGGG